CAGCCGCCGCGGUAAUACGUAGGGUGCAAGCGUUAAUCGGAAUUACUGGGCGUAAAGCGUGCGCAGGCGGUUUGUUAAGACAGAUGUGAAAUCCCCGGGCUCAACCUGGGAACUGCAUUUGUGACUGGCAAGCUAGAGUAUGGCAGAGGGGGGUGGAAUUCCGCGUGUAGCAGUGAAAUGCGUAGAUAUGCGGAGGAACACCGAUGGCGAAGGCAGCCCCCUGGGCCAAUACUGACGCUCAUGCACGAAAGCGUGGGGAGCAAACAGGAUUAGAUACCCGCGUAGUCCCUGUCUCUUAUAC
rnacentral:rRNA from 1 species